rnacentral:rRNA from 1 species
GAUGAACGCUGGCGGCGUGCCUAAUACAUGCAAGUCGAGCGAACAGACGAGGAGCUAGCUCGCCUGACGAUAGAGGCGGACGGGUGAGUAACAGAUGGAUACCUAACUUAUCUGACUGGGAGAACGUCGGGAAACCGGAGCACAUACCGUAAAAUCUAUUGAUACGCAUGAUUCAAUAGUAAAAGACGGUAAUGCUGUCACUUAUAGCUGGAUCGGCGCCGCAUUAGCUAGUUGGUAAGAUAACGGCCUACCAAGGCAACGAGCCUUAGCAGACCGGAGAGGUGGUUCGGCCACACUGGAACGGAGACACGGUCCAGACUCCUACGGGGGGCAGCAUAAGGGAAUCUUCCGCAAGGGGCGAAGUCCUGACGGGGCAAGGCCGGGGGAGUGAGGAAGGUCUUCGGUUCGUAAGACUCUGUUAUUGGGGAAGACCAAUUGUGUAAUGAACUAUGCACGUCUUGACGGUACCUAAUCAGAAAGCGACGGCUAACUACGUG